AGUGAACGCUGGCGGUAGGCCUAACACAUGCAAGUCGAACGGCAGCACAGUAAGAGCUUGCUCUUACGGGUGGCGAGUGGCGGACGGGUGAGGAAUACAUCGGAAUCUACUUUUUCGUGGGGGAUAACGUAGGGAAACUUACGCUAAUACCGCAUACGACCUACGGGUGAAAGCAGGGGAUCUUCGGACCUUGCGCGAUUGCAUGAGCCGAUGUCGGAUUAGCUAGUUGGCGGGGUAAAGGCCCACCAAGGCGACGAUCCGUAGCUGGUCUGAGAGGAUGAUCAGCCACACUGGAACUGAGACACGGUCCAGACUCCUACGGGAGGCAGCAGUGGGGAAUAUUGGACAAAGGGCGCAAGCCUGAUCCAGCCAUACCGCGUGGGUGAAGAAGGCCUUCGGGUUGUAAAGCCCUUUUGUUGGGAAAGAAAAGCAGCAGGUUAAUACCCCGCUGUUCUGACGGUACCCAAAGAAUAAGCAACGGCUAACUUCGUG
rnacentral:rRNA from 1 species